rnacentral:rRNA from 1 species
AGCCCGGCAGUCAAAGCUGGCCUCUACUUGUAAGCUAGCGCUUGAGGAUGGUCCCGCGCCCCAUUAGCUUGUUGGUGAGGUAACGGCUCACCAAGGCUACGAUGGGUAGCUGGUCUGAGAGGAUGGUCAGCCACACUGGGACUGAGAUACGGCCCAGACUCCUACGGGAGGCAGCAGUCGAGAGGCUUCGUCAAUGGGGGAAACCCUGAACGAGCGACGCCGCGUGGGUGAUGAAGGCCUUACGGUCGUAAAGCCCUGUCAGUAGGGAAGAAAUGCCAUGGUGCCAAUACCACCAUGGUUUGACGUUACCUACAGAGGAAGCUCCGGCUAACUCCGUGCCAGCAGCCGCGGUAAUACGGGGGGAGCAAACGUUGUUCGGAAUCACUGGGCGUAAAGGGCGCGCAGGCGGCCUGGUAAGUGGGAUGUGAAAGCCCCUGGCUCAACCAGGGAAUUGCAUCUCAGACUGCCGGGCUUGAGGACGGAAGAGGAAACGGGAAUUCCCGGUGUAGCGGUGACAUGCACUGAUAUCGGGAGGAACACCAGUGGCGAAGGCGCGUUUCUGGUCCGUUCCUGACGCUCAGGCGCGAAAGCUGGGGGAGCAAACAGGAUUAGAUACCCUGGUAGUCCCAGCCGUAAACGGUGAACACUAGGUGUGGGGGGCAUCGACCCCUUCCGUGCCGUAGCUAACGCAUUAAGUGUUCCGCCUGGGGAGUACGAUCGCACGUUGAAACUCAAAGGAAUUGACGGGGGCCCGCACAAGCGGUGGAGCAUGUGGUUUAAUUCGAUGCAACGCGAAGAACCUUACCCAGACGUGACAUGCAGUGGAUCGGUGUGGAAACACACUUUCCCUUCGGGGCUGCUGCACAGGUGCUGCAUGGCUGUCGUCAGCUCGUGUCGUGAGAUGUUGGGUUAAGUCCCGCAACGAGCGCAACCCCUGCCCUUAGUUGCCAUCAUUUCGGGUGGGCACUCUAAGGGGACUGCCGGCGAUGAGCCGGAGGAAGGUGGGGAUGACGUCAAGUCCUCAUGGUCCUUAUGUCUGGGGCUACACACGUGCUACAAUGGCCGGUACAGAGGGUUGCGAUGCCGUGAGGUGGAGCUAAUCCCAAAAAGCCGGUCUCAGUUCGGAUUGCAGUCUGCAACUCGACUGCAUGAAGUCGGAAUCGCUAGUAAUCGCUGAUCAGCAGGCAGCGGUGAAUGUGUUCCCGGGCCUUGUACACACCGCCCGUCAAGCCAC